GAUGAACGCUGACAGAAUGCUUAACACAUGCAAGUCGAUUCAAUUUACCUUCGGGUAUUGAGGAUGGCGGACGGGUGAGUAACGCGUAAGGAACUUGCCUCUUGGUCUGGGACAACUGUUGGAAACGACAGCUAAUACCGGAUAUUAUGAGAUUCUCGCAUGGGAAACUUAUGAAAGCUAUAUGCGCCAAGAGAGAGCCUUGCGUUCCAUUAGCUAGUUGGUGGGGUAACGGCCCACCAAGGCGACGAUGGAUAGCCGGCCUGAGAGGGUGAACGGCCACAAGGGGACUGAGACACGGCCCUUACUCCUACGGGAGGCAGCAGUGGGGAAUAUUGGACAAUGGGCCACAAGCCUGAUCCAGCAAUUCUGUGUGCACGAUGAAGGUCUUCGGAUUGUAAAGUGCUUUCAGUUGGGAAGAAGAAAGUGACGGUACCAACAGAAGAAGCGACGGCUAAAUACGUGCCAGCAGCCGCGGUAAUACGUAUGUCGCAAGCGUUAUCCGGAUUUAUUGGGCGUAAAGCGCGUCUAGGCGGAAAAAUAAGUCUGAUGUUAAAAUGCGGGGCUCAACUCCGUAUUGNGUUGGAAACUGUUUUUCUAGAGUACUGNAGAGGUGGGCGGAACUACAAGUGUAGAGGUGAAAUUCGUAGAUAUUUGUAGGAAUGCCNAUGGAGAA
rnacentral:rRNA from 1 species